rnacentral:rRNA from 1 species
GGGGAAUUUUGGACAAUGGGCGCAAGCCUGAUCCAGCCAUUCCGCGAGAGUGAAGAAGGCCGUCGGGUUGUAAAGCUCUUUCGCAAGGGAAGAAACGAUAGUGACGAAUAAUCACUGUUAAUGACGGUACCUUGAUAAGAAGCACCGGCUAACUACGUGCCAGCAGCCGCGGUAAUACGUAGGGUGCGAGCGUUAAUCGGAAUUACUGGGCGUAAAGCGUGCGCAGGCGGUUUUGUAAGUCAGAUGUGAAAUCCCCGAGCUCAACUUGGGAACUGCGUUUGAAACUACAAGACUAGAAUAUGUCAGAGGGGGGUAGAAUUCCACGUGUAGCAGUGAAAUGCGUAGAGAUGUGGAGGAAUACCAAUGGCGAAGGCAGCCCCCUGGGAUAAUAUUGACGCUCAUGCACGAAAGCGUGGGGAGCAAACA